rnacentral:rRNA from 1 species
UACGUAGGUGGCGAGCGUUGUCCGGAAUCAUUGGGCGUAAAGCGCGUGUAGGCGGCUUGGUAAGUCCGGUGUGAAACCUUGGGGCUCAACCCCAAGCCUGCACUGGAUACUGCCUCGCUUGAGUCCGGGAGGGGAGAGCGGAAUUCCUAGUGUAGCGGUGAAAUGCGCAGAUAUUAGGAAGAACACCGGUGGCGAAGGCGGCUCUCUGGAACGGUACUGACGCUGAGACGCGAAAGCGUGGGGAGCGAACAGG